rnacentral:rRNA from 1 species
AUUGAACGCUGGCGGCAUGCUUUACACAUGCAAGUCGAACGGCAGCACGGGCUUCGGCCUGGUGGCGAGUGGCGAACGGGUGAGUAAUGCAUCGGAACGUGCCCAUUUGUGGGGGAUAACUACGCGAAAGCGUGGCUAAUACCGCAUACGCCCUGAGGGGGAAAGCGGGGGAUUCUUCGGAACCUCGCGCAAUUGGAGCGGCCGAUGUCAGAUUAGCUUGUUGGUGAGGUAAAGGCUCACCAAGGCGACGAUUUGUAGCGGGUCUGAGAGGAUGAUCCGCCACACUGGGACUGAGACACGGCCCAGACUCCUACGGGAGGCAGCAGUGGGGAAUUUUGGACAAUGGGGGCAACCCUGAUCCAGCCAUGCCGCGUGAGUGAAGAAGGCCUUCGGGUUGUAAAGUCCUUUCGGCGGGGACGAUGAUGACGGUACCCGCAGAAGAAGCCCCGGCUAACUUCGUGCCAGCAGCCGCGGUAAUCAUAGUCGUA